UGGGGAAUUUUGGACAAUGGGCGCAAGCCUGAUCCAGCCAUGCCGCGUGAGUGAAGAAGGCCUUCGGGUUGUAAAGCUCUUUCGGCGGGGAAGAAAUUGCAUUCUCUAAUACAGGGUGUAGAUGACGGUACCCGCAUAAGAAGCACCGGCUAACUACGUGCCAGCAGCCGCGGUAAUACGUAGGGUGCGAGCGUUAAGCGGAAUUACUGGGCGUAAAGCGUGCGCAGGUGGUUGUGUAAGUCAGAUGUGAAAUCCCCGGGCUCAACCUGGGAACUGCAUUUGAGACUGCACGGCUAGAGGAUGGCAGAGGGGGGUAGAAUUCCACGUGUAGCAGUGAAAUGCGUAGAGAUGUGGAGGAAUACCGAUGGCGAAGGCAGCCCCCUGGGCUAUUUCUGACACUCAUGCACGAAAGCGUGGGGAGCAAACA
rnacentral:rRNA from 1 species